GGAAGGAUCAUUAACGUUGAAUCGAUCGUGGAGUUCGUCUCCCGUGUGAACUGUACUUGAAUCAUCUUCUUGCGAUACGUUUGGGGGGGUCGACCUAGCGGUCGUCAAAUGCUGUGUGCGUUAGCAGUCAGCCCCCCCCACGUUCGCAUGUCUUUGUUUUCUAUCCAGUUUGUCAAUAGUGAGAAUGAUAUUGAAAGAUACGAAAAAAUUUGAGAAAACAACUCAGAACGGUGGAUCUCUUGGCUCACGCAUCGAUGAAGAACGCAGCCAACUGCGAUAAGUAGUGUGAAUUGCAGAAGACAGUGAAUCAUCGAAUCUUUGAACGCAAAUGGCGCUCUCGGGCCCUGGUCCCGGGAGCAUGUCUGUCUGAGGGUCGAAUACACUAUGUGUGUCUUUCUUCUUUUGCGAGGAAAGACGGUGUUGAGGUGUCACGGCCAAUCCUCCUCCUCUUCACAAGAAAGGGAAGAGGCCGUGUCCCUUGAAAUGUAGAAUGCCGGUGGACGACCGCGACUCGUUCAUAUCGCCCACCGACAGAGAGAGAGGAACAAACAAACACUUACGUACGACCUCAGAUCAGGCAAGACUACCCGCUGAAUUUAAGCAUAUUAAUAAGCGGAGGAAAAGAAACUAACAAGGAUUCCCUCAGUAACGGCGAGUGAAGCGGGAAAUGGCUCAAAUUGAAAAUCGCCUACCUCCCGACAAGAGGGGUGGUGCGAGUUGUAAUUGAGAGAAGCGCCGUCCGGGCCCCGUGCGGGUUCGCGCCCAA
rnacentral:rRNA from 1 species